rnacentral:lncRNA from 13 species
GCGGGAAAGGAAACGGUGAGAAUGAGAAGCAGGACGCGGGGACAGCGAUCCCCCAGAAGCUUUCCUCGCUUUUGGAGGCCAACGCUACACGCCCGCCUGCGGGGCUCAGGAGGCACCGAGGAAUCGAGAUCCUCGCCCCCACUCUCCGGCUCACCACCUAAUGCUUUGCAUACGUUGGUCUUGGGUUCCCUGCCAGCCCCAACUCCCCUCUCCUCCCCUCCGGUUGGUUCCAGGAAAGGAUGCUAUCUCUGAAUCUGCAGCCAGAUGCAGCUCCAAGCAAUCCCAGUGUUUCACAUAUUUCACCCAGCUGACGGCAAGUAGAUGUGAUAAAGCAGAAACUGGACACAGAAUGGUGAUAUCUGAGCUAGGAUUUUCCUCAGCAUGGUUCCUGGACUGAAGAGGACAGGAAGCAGAACCACAGUCAAAGCCAACAUACAAUGUAAGUGAGGAAUAGAUCUUACUUGUUGUGAGCCACUGAAAUUCAGUUUCA